AAACCGGUCUGGCCUGCCAGGGGCUUUCCCUGAACAAGCGGCGGACUGGCUUUGAGAACCACUGGUCUAGCAGAUACUCCAGCACCAUCUGAAGAGACAACUGAGCAGGCGAGAGGCCUUUUUGUGAUGUCCAAAUGGAAAAAAAACACUUCCACUUGGCAAGGUAUGUAACUCUGGUUGGUUUAACCCUGGGGCUUCCACAUUGUUAGAUGGAGGGCACUGAGAUUUGGGUGGAGCAUUCAACCAUAGCCUUGAGACAUCAGAUCUGGGAAGGGAGGGGGCGGCAUCAGAGUCGCUACUGAUGGGUCUAACAGUGUGCCGAACUAGUGUUGACAUGGUCAGGCUGGGGCUGUAAGAAUAACCCUUGCUCUGUCCCACUUGACCUUUAGCAGGACUUUGUGCACAGGGGGAAAAGGCAUAGAACAGGUGCUUUGACCAAUGGAGUAAGAAGGCAUCCAUGAGUGAGCCUGAGCUGUGGCCGCACAGAGAACAAAACUGAUGACAUUUUCUGUUCUGGCUGGUUGCGAACAGAUUUACAAGGAGAGUCCUCCACCGCUGUAAAAUGACCUUUGCUAUGUGUGGACGGAGGGACCACUCAUGGUGAGUGGAGAAAGACCUGCUGAGGUAAUCUGCCAGCUCGUUCUGGGUUCCUGGAAGGUGAGAACCUUUGCAAUGGAUCAAGUGCUUUAUGCAAAACAAGCGAAUAGUCUCCUGACAGGGAAAAGAGUGAGAGCCUGCCUGUCGGUUGAUGUAGCACGCGGCUGCAGUGUUGUCUGUAAGUACCCUCAUGUCCUCGUUUGCAAUGUGGGGAAGAACACCUGACAUGCUAGACGGGCCACUCUGAGCUCUCGGACAUUUAUAUGUAUAGAGAGCUCUUCUGGGGACCACAGACCUUGAGUCUUGAGGUCCUCUAAAUGAGACCCCCAGCCUAACUCUGAAGCAUCUGGAGACCAGAGAUAUCAAGGGCUGGGGCCUGGCAAAGGGAAUGCCUGAGCCCACCAACUAAGGAUCCCUCUAGCAGUUGAGGGAGGCAAAGACUAGAGUGGGAACUGAGAGUAGCAAGUCCAAAUGAUGGCAGUUCGGCAAGUACAUCAAGGCCAGCCUAGCUUGAAGGGGUCAGAGGCUCAGUCUUGCAUGCUGAACUACAUACGUGCACGGGGCCAUGUAACCUAAAAGUCUGUCACCCAUUUCUGCCUCAGGGUGGGCCUUGGAGUGUGGUAUCAGUGACGCCAUCAUUGGGAAGUGGGCUUCUGGGAGGAAGGCCCUGGCUUGGGUAGAAUCGAGCACUGCUCCGAUGAACUCUAUUCUCUGUACUGAGAUGAGGUUUGACAUCUGAUACUUUAUCAGUAGACCCAGUGUUUGAAAGGUUGCCUGAAUGAGGUUUGUUCUUCCCCUGCGCCUAGGUCUGGCCUUUGAUCAGCCAGUCAUCGAGGUACAGGUAAAUCUGCACCCCUUGCCUUCUCAGGAAGGCAGCAACUACUGCCAUGCAUUUCACAAAGACCUGUGUGGCUACCAACAGGCCAAAUGGGAGAACAGUGAACUGGUCGUGGGUCCGAUUCACAACAAAUCUGAGAAAACUUCUAUGCCCUCGGAAAAUCAAGCAAUGAAAAUAGCCGUCUGUCACAUGGAAGAUGGUGUACCAGUCCCCGAGAUCCAGGGAGGGAAUGAUGGAGGCCAGGGAGACCAUGCGGAACUUUCAGCUUUUUGAGAUAGCUGUUGAGGUAGCACAGCUCUAAAAUGCCUCUACUUUGCUUCUUGUGCGGAUCCCGACAGGGUGGUAGAGCUGAGAAAUGGGUGAGCCGUUGGGCCUGAAAUGUUUCCUCAAAAAGCACCAUGGCAGAGAGACUUCAGGGUGGCUCUGGAGUCCUUCCAGACAUGGAGCUUCACAUCUGUUGGCUCUGAGAAGAGUGAGGACCCUUCAAACAGAAGGCCCUGAAGGGAUUGCUGGACCUCCAUAGGUAGGCCAGAGGACUGUAGCCAAGAGCACUUUCACAUGGCCGCUACAGAAGCCAUAGAUCUGGCUGCUGCAUCCAGAGAAGCUUGCAAGGAAGCCCUGGCUAUCGCCUUCCCUUCUUCCACCAGAGCAGAGAACUCCUGCCUGGAUUCUUGAGGGAGCAAGUCCUUAAAUUUUUUGAUAUGGAGUCCCAGACAUUAAAAUUGCAUUUCCCUAGCAACGCCUGAUGGUUGGAGAUGCGGAGCCGUAAACCGCUAGUAGAAUAAGCUUUUCUACAGAAGAGGUCUAGGUUUUGUCUGGGGUUGGGUUUUUUUGUUUGUUUUUUUGGGGGCGGGGUUUGAGUCUUUUGCCUUGGAGGUUGCCCUUACAGUCCCUGCCUGUCCUUUUUGUUGGCUGCCAAUACCACCAGGGACCCAGGGGGGGAGGUUACAAGUACUCAUAAACCUUGGGUAAGGGCAAAGUACUACUUUUCUGCCCUCUUCAAAGUGGGGGACCAGCGAGGAUGGGGUUUACCAAAGGGUUUUAACUGGACCCAUAAUGGCCUCACAGAGGAAGAGCCAACUUUGACAGGGCCACCAUGGCCAAGAUGUCUACUAGGCUGUGGGAGAACUCUUACUACCUCCACUUCCAGUCAUAGGUUCGAGGCAACCCAGGAUGGAGGGGGAGGGAGAGUUGACAUGCUUGGCCCUGACACCAUCUCAUCUGGGGAGGAGGCGGCGGCGGCAGCCUGCACCGGCAUGGGUUCCUCUGCGCCACAUGGAUCCCGCAGAUCCAGGUCCUGAACGUUGGUGCCGGAGUCUGUGUUGGGUCCCACUCGGUGAGAUGGAGGACCCCUUCUCUCAGAUACCACUGAGUAAGAGCAUCAAGGGGGGGCCUGGCACCUGGGGGAAGCCCCACAAGUUCCAGAAUGGCCAGUGCCCACUGGGCCAUGCACUCAGAGGUACCCCCACACUGGGAUCCCCAUCAUAUAGGAUUUGGGAAAUACUAGUAUGGAUUCCUCGGCUGGAUGCACGACUCCAUCUCCAACUCAAAGCCCUUCUUCAGGAACCAUGGAGGUGCAGUACCCGUCAAUUCCAGGAGUUGGUGCCAAGGAUCCGUGGACCUGUGCCAAGUACAGAUGAUGUCAACUCUUGGACAGCUGGCGAUGGCAGUACUGACAACACCAGUAAGUCUCUGGCCACAAUUAAUGCCUCCAGAAUGGACGGCACCACUAUCUUGCUGGUGCUAUGCUGUCCCUCUGACGCUGAUGGCUGAUCCUGGACUAGACUCCGAGCCUGCGAAUCCGACGCAGUUGACAGUACUGUCUGUCAAGCGAGGACAGAGGAAUGGCCAGACUCAGAAAGCGAAUGCUCUGCGAACAACCAACCAAUGUGUGGAGUAAGGCUUCCUUCCCGUCCGCAUGUGGUUUAGGAAAAAAUACAGAACAGGCCUUCUUGACCCCCGUCAGCCAUGGAGUAACCAGGCUUUCAGGUUGGGGUUCGGGCGACGGACUCAUCCCGCAUCUUGUGAUAGACGGUACUGUGAUGGACUCAGACCAGAAGGAUAUAACAGAGUAGUGGAAGGCAAGUAUAUCAGCCUCAGAAUGAGUAGGUCCCUGUCCCCUGGAUAGCCAAACAAAGGCUACUUCAGGCCAAUCAAGACACCUGACACCAAUUUAAACAGUUAAGGUCACUAGGCUAAUGCCAGCACCUGACCUCAAUUAACUGGCAAAGGGUCAGUUAAGGACAUUAGGCUAAUGGAGACAACUGGAACCAAUUAAGGUCCUACUCAUACUGCUUAAAAGCUCUCCUUUCCAGUUCUCUCUCAAGAAGCCCAGGUGAAGGGAGCUGGAGGAGAAGCAGCAUUGCUGAAUCCUGAGAUAAAGGUGAAGCUUGGGAAAAGAGGACCAUGGGGAAGUGGCCCAGGGAAUCAAAGCAGCAUCAUUGGUGAAGGGAAAAAUCACCAACAGCUGCUACCAUUAGGGUCCCUGGACUGGAACCCCGAGUAGAGGGCAGGCCCGGGUUUCCCCCUUCCCCCACGCUCUACAGAGAUUCCCCUUGAGAGGGGAAGCAAAUUGUGGUCCAGGCAGGAGACCAAACUGAGCCUACUGAGCUCUAAGGAGCAACAGAGACUGUGGGUAUUCCACCUUCCCUACUGGCAUGCGAUGAAAGUAGCUCAAUAAGCUGUGACCUUUGCUGCUAUACUGGGAAAGGGAAAGGGAGGUUAUAUUGAGGGUGUUAGUGACCUUCUGAGGCCACUGAAUCCACCUAGAAGCACGGGACCCACCAAUACAGGCUCGGAGCUUUGUCACAGUACGUAAAUGCCAAGGGUUUUUAAGGUCGCCCUUGAGUCUUUUAGGGUGUGUAACGAAACAUCGGUUUUGUCUGCAAAUAAAUUUCUGCCCCUCAAAGGGUAAGUCCUCAACCGUUGUCUGGACCUCCCUUGGGAGCCUGGAGAGGUGGAGCCAUGAUGCAUGCCGCAUGACCACGGAUGUCACAAUGGAUCGUGCUGCUGUGUCUGCCGAGUCAAGGGAGGUCUGGAGGGCCGUCCUGGCAAUGAGACCCCCUUGAGAAAUGUUUGCAUUCUACUGUUCUUUUUUGUCAUCUUGUAAAUUUUCAAUAAAAAGUUGACCUUUUGGAGAAAAGACUGUGUAUAUUUGGUUAGAGCAGCAUAGUUGGCUAUGCGGAACUGAAGUGUAGCUGAGGAAUAAAACUUUCCACCUGAAAAGGUCUAGCUUGUUCCAGUCCUUAUCGUAUGGGGUCAUUCGAGACUGGUAUUGUUUGCCCCUUUGGUUGGCUGCCUCCACUACAAGGGAGUUUGGUGCAGGGUGUCUAAAUAGAAACUCAGCCCCUUUUGCUGGCACAUAAUAUUUUUUGCCAGAUCUUUUACAUAUGGGUGGUGCUGUAGCAGGUGUUUGCCAGAUUAUUUUUGCAGGCUCCAUGAUUGCAUCACUAAUUGGCAGAGAUAUCUUUGCCGAUGGGGAUGCCUGGAGUAUGUUUGAGAGAUUGUGUUAGGCUUCUGGUAGCUGAGCCAAUGAAGUGUCCAGGGAUUCAGCAACCCUUCUGAAGAGGUUCUGAAAGGAUUUGAAAUCAUCCCCUGUGGUGAGGGGUGUUGGUAUUAUGGUUUCACCUGGUGACAAAAGAUGAGAGCUGAGUAGGUGCUCAAGUGUCACGUUCAGCUGUGUCCUCAGGUUCCUCAGAAUCUUCCUCUUGUGUUUCUGAGGGUGCCUGGACAGUUGAAGGGUAACAAGACUGUUCUGGACCUAGGUGGGCUAGGGGCCCGCAAUUGGAUCCUAUACACUGCUCAGGGAUCCCAGUAUGACCAGUUAGGUGGGAAUGUUAUGGGGGAGGUGCCCAUAUCAUCCUCCUGUAUCUGCAGAUGGUUGGUGAUGAAAUGGUCAUAGCUUGGGUGAGGAGUGGCGAGGAGUAUAUAUUACUGCCUCGUCCUUUUCUUCCUCUUCACUGGAGAUGGGGGUGGCUUAUCUGCAGGGAUUAGUCAACUGGCUUGGUACCAAUCUGGAUGGAGUACCCUCAGUGCAGAGUAGAGGAGAUUGAGAUCACUAUCUGGUCUGCAUGCCUCAUGAAUUGCUGCAGAACCUGGAGUCUCGGUGCUGGAGACGGCAUGGUGGACAGCCCGGGAGCAUGAGUUGAAGCUGCCAGUGCUGAGGAUUUAGAGCAGUGCAGCAUAGGAACAUCAGGUGACGCCAUUGUACCGCUCGGUGCAGAGAUCUUCUUAGGUUCCAUAGGUGCUGUUAUGUUUCAUUUUAAUGUGUAAACCUCCAUUAGAGCUAGCCGCAUAGGGUCUUUAGCUCUUCGGAAACUCGCGGUGCCAGAUGUUCCAGGUGCCUCGCGUUCCGGCACACUCAGUGCCUUUGAUACCAGGGCAAAUUUUUCAGUUGGGGAUCGCUUUCUUUUAGACAAUUCUCAGUGCGGAGAUGUCUGCAACUGCUUUUUGGUCUCCUUCCUAGGGAUAGGCUAUUUGGCAGUCAUUGCUGAAGUGGAGCCCAUGUCAGAGACUGGUGACCGUUGGCCAGGGGGUGACCUGGACGCGGGGUCGGAGGUUGGCCUGAGGGAUUUCUCCACCAUAAGAAGCUUCAGUUGGAGAUCCCUAGCUUUUCUUGUCCUAGCUGUCAGUUUAUUCGAAAAUGCCCACACUGCAGAAAUGUGUGUCUCGCCAAGGCAGCGGAUACCCUGAGCAUGACCAUCAGAGACCAAUAUGGAGAGUUUGCAAGUCAGGCAGCGUUUAAAAUCAGGUGAGCUGGCCAUUUUUGAGGGAGUCAGUCUCUUAGAGAAAAAAAAAUAAGGGUAAACCCUGUUUGAGGCUAAGGCUGUACACCUGCCAGAGAGGCAGCGGUAGAAAGGAAAGGUAAAGGGAAUUUUUUUUUAUUUUUAAAGAGGUUAGAGUAAGGCAAGUGAUACAAAAACUAACUACAACUAAGCUAACACUAUCACUAUGAAUUAUUUACUAUAAAUCUUAUCUGAUGUACGAGAGGGCACUGUUGAUCAUGCCAAUUCAAGCCAAAAGGCAGUAGAGAAGAAACUGGGGGACAGUUGGCUGAGCACCGCUAUGUAACUGCUCGGAGCAGCGUGAGACAACUACAGCGCGUGCGCAGCCUAACUGGGCACUACUACCACAAAUCUCCGAUUACAAGCGCAGGGUGUCAAAACACCUAAAGUGGAGCACCGACAGGGACGAUCCUCGAAGAAUCUAUCAUUUCCCUCAAUAUCAGUGAGGGAAGAGGACUCAGUGUCUGGAACUAAUAAGUGACAAAAGAAAGUUUAACAUUAAACAUUCAUAAUGGAAAAUGGUUCCAAAAAAUUAAAAAACACAGAUUUAGAUGAAAACUCAGACUAUGGAAGACAAUUCUUCAGCAAGAAGUGAAUUAUGUCCACAGAGCUGCGGAAUACAAAGGACCCUGAUGACAAACUACAGUUAUUUGAUCUAGAAGAUACAUCUAGCACACAGAAAUGUUAACUAAAUAAGCAGUUUCUAAAAAUUCUGUUGAAUUUAAAGCUUUAACAGGAACAAACUAAUUAUGUAAUAUCUCCUAAGACUACACAGUUAUCUAUAGACAAACAUUAUAUAACUCGAAGACUCACUUUAAUGCAAAUAAGAGAUUAGGAUUUCUUUCCAGUAAACUUGGAUACAACUGUUGUGUUGUUUCAA